GCCAGCAGCCGCGGUAAUUCCAGGCUCCAAUAGCGUAUAUUAAAGUUGUUGCAGUUAAAAAGNUCGUAGUUGAAUUUCGGGGUUAGUAGGUUGGUCAUGCCUCUGGUAUGUACUGGUCUCACUGAUUCCUCCUUCCUGAUGAACCUUAAUGCCAUUAAUUGGUGUUUUGGGGAAUUUGGACUGUUACUUUGAAAAAAUUAGAGUGUUUAAAGCAAGCUAACGCUUGAAUACAUUAGCAUGGAAUAAUGAAAUAGGACGUUCGAUCCUAUUUUGUUGGUUUCUAGGGAUUGACGUAAUGAUUAAUAGGGAUAGUUGGGGGCAUUAGUAUUCAAUUGUCAGAGGUGAAAUUCUUGGAUUUAUUGAAGACUAACUACUGCGAAAGCAUUUGCCAAGGAUGUUUUCAUUAAUCAAGAACGAAAGUUAGGGGAUCGAAGACGAUCAGAUACCGUCGUAGUCUUAACCAUAAACUAUGCCGACUAGGGAUCGGAUGAUGUUAAUUUUUUAAUGACUCAUUCGGCGCCUUACG
rnacentral:rRNA from 1 species